CUGGCCUUGACAUAGUAAGAACUUUCCAGAGAUGGAUUGGUGCCUUCGGGAACUUACAUACAGGUGCUGCAUGGCUGUCGUCAGCUCGUGUCGCGAAAUGUUGGGUUAAGUCCCGCAACGAGCGCAACCCUUAUCCUUUGUUGCCAGCGGUCCGGCCGGGAACUCAAAGGAGACUGCCAGUGAUAAACUGGAGGAAGGUGGGGACGACGUCAAGUCAUCAUGCCCCUUAUGUCUUGGGCUUCACGCAUGCUACAAUGGCCAGUACAAAGGGCUGCGAGACCGUGAGGUGGAGCGAAUCCCAAAAAGCUGGUCUCAGUUCGGAUCGGGGUCUGCAACUCGACCCCGUGAAGUCGGAGUCGCUAGUAAUCGCGGAUCAGCAUGCCGCGGUGAAUACGUUCCC
rnacentral:rRNA from 1 species